rnacentral:lncRNA from 1 species
GUGUAGCGCCCUCCCUAAAAAUUAAGGCUAAUUCUAAGGAUGAACUGCUAAUCUACUCAACUAGCUAAUACAAAAACUGCGCGAAGCGAUAAACGCUCGCUAAAACAGUAAAGUCGCCACCGAAUUUUAUUUAUCCCACGCGGCCACGCGGAAAAGGAAAAUAUCGAUAAAACCUUUAAGUGGAAAGGGUGGUCAUCGCAACCAGAAUUCCGGGUUCGGGAGUCGGUUAUGCGAAGGGAAGGUAUUAGCACCCCUCGCAUCCGUUGUACUCAACGGGAACCUUCUCUUUAGAUCUAGGAUUAAAAUUAGUUCUCGCGCUUGUGUAAUGAUGCUUUAUUAUUUGUUCUAUACUAUUUAAUCAAAGAAAAGACAUUAAAAGACACUAAAGACUCUUAACAUUUUUUGACACAAAAAGGUUUUCUUUAUUAGUGUGCUUGACGAGAUACACCAUCCCGCUCCUACGUAUUCCCAGCUGCAAUGGGAAAUUCAAAGCUACACGCAGUUCUCGGGUAGAAAAUAAGUGUUUGUUAGUUGAUUUUAAUUCACAAAAGGNNNNNNNNNNNNNNNNNNNNNNNNNNNNNNNNNNNNNNNNNNUUAAACACAUGAAACACUCUAAUACAUUUUUUAAACACAUAAGACUCAGUUAAACAUUUUUCACAAAAAAGACUCAGUUUAGUGCGUUGCGUUCAUUUUAUGGUUUUUAUUACUUUUUGAAAAGAAAUAAUAAAAAGAACGCCGGUUAUCCACAUUUCGAGGUAAUCACCAAGAAUACGAAUAACCAGAGAACCGGAGAGCCACAUGACAAACCGAUCCUUUUUCAUUCUAUUUUUAUUAAAAAAAAAGACAACAAUUUUUUAUCACACAAAUAACUUAACAAAAGAGAUAAACUAUUCUAACAUAUUUCACACAAAUAACUUAACAAAAAAAAGAUAAACUAUUCUAGCAUACUAAACCCUAAAAAAAAAUCUAACAUAUUUCCACCUUUUUACACUAAAAGAAAUAAAAAUACGAAAAAUAAAACACUAAAAAAGGAUAAAAAAAAACACAUUUUUUAGGUCAGGGGGUGCGAAAAUGAAAUCUGGGGACUGGGC